CUCUCUCUCUCUUUCUCUCUCAGGAUGCUGCCCCAUAGCACAGAAGCGUUUAAACUGCGCUGCUUCUCUUCUGUAAUGCAGUUGAGGAGUUUGGCACCCAUUUCCAUCAGGGCUGAGUUUGGUCCGUUACCUUGAAAUCCUGCCCAAGAGCGAGUAUGUGAGAGGGCUGGAGGGAUGGGGGAGUGUGGAGGGGAAGUGGGGCAUAAGCAGUGGAUAUUCUCUGCCUUAUUUUGAUGGUUCUUUUGCUUGUCAGUCCGCUGUUCCUAAUCCCAGACAAGAGUUCCCUCCCCACAUCUAGAUGAUCUGUGGAUGACUGCACCUACGUCGUUGAGAUGAGUCGAGUGCGCUAAUGUGAAACGCGUAGCCUUGUGGUCAGGGGUUGUGCCAGGAUUGUAAAGCACCUGGAUGGGAUUGAAACACAAGCUGUUCUUUAACGUUUAUAAAUUGGACACAAGUUCCUACCUAAAAGCUGUUUAUUAGAAUCUAGUAGGAUUCAACGGGACAUUUAUCUGCCCCUGGCAGUUUGACAUCCAGAGGUGCUUACAGCAACUGGCUGGGAUGAUAUUUCAUUAACUGAAGCGAUAAAUUUUAAAUGUGAGUUUCAUGGGCACCAGUGUCCCCCGAGGAAAAUUACCGUUUCCUAGCUAAUUUGACAGGAGAGAGAUUAUAAUCCAGACAUUCCCAGAGUUUCACAAACAAAAUCCCUCCUCUAAAGGACCAGAUUGGAACGGAAAGUAUGGGUAAAGGAUGAGCUUCAAGGCCUUUCACAAGCUGCAGAAAGAAGAAACGCGCUGCAGUUCAGCUCCGGCUUUGUGCUAGAGGUUCUGCCUUGCGUAUGUGCGCAAACAUGUUCCUAAGGUGUUUGGUGUGAGAUAAAAGUAGAUCCCAAAGUGAGAUUUCACAGCACAAAUUAUCAAAGUGAAGAUUCACUCUUGAUGUAGUCUACGUGUGUGGCAGUAAUUAUGAAAAAUAAUUCGGGAUAAUAGGGCCUUCAGGAAUCCCAAGGCGGGCACUGGGAGGUUAACCCUUCCUCAUCUAACCUGGUCUCCAUGCCACUGUCAUCAUCAGGUGAGCAGAUGAUGGGUUGAGUCAGGCAACUUAACAAACCAAGUGAUAAACGUUACGGUCUUCAAGAAAAUCGGGGAGGUGACCGAGGAAAUGAAGUUUUGUUCCCAAGUAGCUUUGGAUGUGACUGUUUGGUCCUAGAUCAUACAGACCUUCAGGAAGGUGUUACUGGUACGGGCUGCUUACCAGCUUUGAGGAACGGGUCACCUCUCAGAUAGCAAGUAAGUCUCCUCACUUUGCUGCUCUGUCACACCCAGGCAGCUGAGCAUUACAGCCCGUGCCCAUCACGAUGCCAUUAGCACCGAGGUGGUUCUUUGUAGGCAACAUUUCUCUGAAAAGGUUGAACUUCCCGGCUCUGUAGAUGCUGGCACUUCCUGGACAGGCUUGUCCUGAACGCUUCCUUGGCAGACGUACAGCUGGUGUUGAUGUGAGAAGGUUCUUGCAGUGGCACAUCACGUGCUGCAUCUGCACGUGGUAAAGCAGAGGCUUGCCGUGAUGCCCAGCGAGGUCCCCAGCCAGCAGCUCCUAAAAGGCUUUUUCUGCGACCAGGGCAGCAGGUCGGCAUGAGUGCCGAGCCCAGCGGCAGUGUGUGCGCACACCUGGCCCGUAGUUCUUCCUGUGGGUCCUGCACCCCAGCACACCGUGACAGGGGCACCUGAAGCUCUGCCCCCUUGCCCUGGCUCCUGUGAGAGGUGGGCACCACCUGCAGCAGCUCUGCAGCGAGGUCCUUCCCAGGAUGUUUGCAGCCAAGCCUGUUUGCAAGACACAGAGGUGGGAAAAGCAUUUGUUGGGCUUACAGAUACCCAGAGCCGUACCUCUCCUCCCUCAGCCGUUCGCGUUUGCUUUUGUAGGUGACCGUUGCGGUCUUUCAGAAAGCAGCAGCUCAUCUGAUCCCUUCUGCAGUCAAAUCAAAGUGGAUGGCUCCCAUCUUCCUGGCAGUCUUGGAGCAGAGCCAUGCAAGAGGGAGGUGAGCAGCUAGCUGUUCAGGGGACAGUGGGCUUCCUGCUCUGGCAGUGUCAAAGGGACAUAAAACCUUUGCACCAGGCUUUGGUUUUGCUUUUGGGAUGCUUUUUGGUCUUGUGGGCAGGAAGGGGAGAGGAACGCCAGGCUAAGCGGUCAUAUGGCCUCAGGUCCGCAGCUCUGGCUCCCCCAUCGUCUAUCAAGUUGACGCUGUGUCUGCAGCCCUAGCAAUAGGACUCUGCUGAACCUCUUGGAGCUGGGGAUCAUGAGGACUCACCAGUCUUUUACUGCCUCUGGUCUCCAAGGUUUAUCGUGCAGAGCCAUGUUGUUCCUGCUGGCUUCCUGGCUGGCUUCUGCACACACUUUCCUGCCUCUGGCUGCCUCGAAAGACUGGUUUUCACAAUACCCUGCCCUUCCUUUGGACUUUGCUGGUGGGACCUUCUCGUCCCAGGAGACCAGAAUUUUCCUUAUAAAACCCUGCAGGUCUGGGGAACAUCAGUGUUUUCAGGAGGUGCCUUGCUGCCUCCACGCUGGUCCAAAUCUGCAGCGAGGGUGAGUGGCUGCUCUGGUCCCUGCCCCAGUGUCAGGCUAGGGGCAGGGUUGGAUCAAGCCCCAGGUGGGGCUCACAGAGGAAUCGCCUGCACCGGCAGCAACGCUGUGAUGACCGCACGUUGCACAGCGCGUGGUGUAACCCGCUCCCCAGGUAUGGCUGGUCCCGCGACACCGCAGUGGCCAUCAGUGCCGCCCUCCUGUCACAGGCAGCCACUCCUGUGACCUUUGGUCACCUAUUUUAAAGGACUGAAGAUUGCAGCGGGCAAUUGGGGCUGGGUCCCUUGGCAUUACAGGCUGCCCGUCAUGCCCCAUCCCAGCCCCCCCCCCCCCCCCGUGCAAUGCAGGGAGCGCAGGCAACCUGCAGGGUUAAUUUGGGGACGUGGAGGUUCCCUCGCCGGGGUCCAGCGCCCAGCAAACCCCCCGAGCACCUCUGCAGCAGCCUGCCCGCGGAGGCUCGCUCGCUCUCAGCUGGGCGGCUCAUUUCUGGAUCCUGUCGGUUUUCACUCCAUCUCCCGGGAGCCAAGGUCCACAGCCGCGCCUGUGCCUCCCAGACGGGCCGGCAGACGAGAACUUCCUUCCAGGCCCUAUAGACAGACAUUUUAUAUAUGUUAAAAUACGUGUGUAUAUAAAUAUGGAAAGCAAGAGCUUGGGAGACCUUGAGUCUAAAUAAACUUGUAUAUUUAAGGCUUUUAAAAUGCUAAUGUUGAAUUUCAGGGGAGGGGGCACACAAGGGGAUUGUUGGACUGAGCACCAAGACAGCUGAUGAGCUUGGAUCGGUGCCUUUACAAUUCAAGGAAAAAUGGGAUAGUUUGGGAAGGAAAAAGGGAUUUUCUUGUUUUUGUUUUUAGUAGAAAAUAAAAGAAGCUGCCUUCUUAUUUGCCUCCCUCCCCCAGCGCCAGAGCAGCGAGCGAGCGACUGGUGUUGUAUGCAUAAGCUAUUCCUUUGUGCAACAUCUAAAUGGUUAAUUGUGUUUGAGGAAGAUGUACGGGCGAAUGGAGGGACCACCCAGCAAGAGACAGACAAGAAAGAGCGAUCUCUGAAAUGUUUAACCAGAGAGAGAGCAAAGUUGUUUAAAAAUAUUUAAUUUACAACAUUCCACACUGCUGAUUAUAAAUUGGCCGUCCAAAAACACUGCUGCGUGCGGGGAGGGAUCCAGGCAGCAUGAAACAAA